rnacentral:lncRNA from 1 species
AUACAGUGAAUGGAGCAGGAUGGUGUGUGCAAACUUUGAAUAGUCGCGUUAGAAGGGGUUGAUUUGUAUCAGGCUAAAAGAAAAGGCACAGACAACUCAAAGAGUUUGUACAAUGUUCCGGUAAGACCAUUCUAAAACGUUAUUCACAUUAACUAUUAACAUAAUCAAAAUUGAAAUACAUGAUAAUCAAUAAGGCAUAUGAUGCCCUUUAUUGUCGUUUGCCCCGAUUAUAAUGCCCAAUACAGUUUGUUAAAACAUCAUUUGACAGAAAUUGAUGUUGUUGCCAGUGGGAGGGGGGCUUUGUACACAAUAUUCCAUCUUGAAAUUAAUAUACAUAGAAUGUAUUGUCCUAUAAUAUACAUGUACAUCAUAGAUACAUGUAUGAUAAAUAAUUUACGAGCUUUUACUUAAAUAUCAAUAUAUGCAUAUAACAAUUUCAUGGUGAAUUUUCAUGAUUUGUCGUUGAAUGAUACUGCUUACAUCUCACUAUACAACUUCAACCAGAAUGUUGUGGUUAACGUUUUACUAUAAGAUUCAAAUUGUGCAUAGACAUUUUCUUUGUUUUAAAAGCAAAUCUUGGAAUAUAAAAAAAUAAUGAUGUGUGUUUGACGAUUUAUACAAAUUAAAGGCUUUUUGUAGUAGCUAUAUAAUGUUAACGAUACAAAAUGUCAUGGUCACUUACUUUCAAUUCAUAGAAAAAACAAAAAAAAUGACAUACAAUUCUUUAAUAUAGCACAAUAUGCAUUAUACAUGUACAAGUACAAAAUGUAACACCAUGGAUAUACAAUGUACAAUCACAGGCUCAAUAGAUAUACAUGUAAGAAGAUUUGGUAUGAGUGCCAAUGACACAACUCACCAUCCAAGUCUCAAUUUUUAAAGGUAAACCAUUAUAACUCAAAGAACGGUGUUCAGAAUUGAGCCUUGUCACACCGAACAGCAAGCUAUAAGGGACCAAAAAAACAAAUAGUGUAAAAACAUGAAAACCAACUGUCUAAUCUAUUAUAUAUAUAAAAAAAGACCCGAGAAACUCUUAUAAACCACAUCAACACUGAACGCCUCUUUACGCCAUGUAUACUGAACCACAAUAACGAUACAGAAAGGUGUCGUUCGAUGACGAAAGCCGAGUCAUUACAUAUUUGAGUUGUGGUUCUGCCAUAAAUGUGAAGAUAUCGGGUGUCACUUUUGCAACAUGCACACUUAAUAUGAAAAUCAUUACAGUAGAAAUAUGAUAAUCUUGUCGAAGGAAACACAUCAACUCAUGAUAAAAAUGCUACUAAUUGGCAUUUUACAUGUUCUACUUAUAAUGCAUACGUAUAUACGCAAUUAUCAUGUCAUGCUACUGUCUUUAUCCUUAUAUAUGAGGUGGCUCAUUUCUGGCAUUUAAGGGUACAAAUUCUUCCAAAUAUUUCAGAUGAUGAAAUACAGACUCUGUGAAGCUGUAGGUGAGAAGGAUUACUAUGGGUCUAAAACUGACACAAUUUCGUAGUCUAGUGAUAGGAGUGUUUGCCAUAGCCAUCUGUUUACAUUUCAUUAGCAUUAGUGAUAUCUUUCAUUACCACUGG